rnacentral:rRNA from 1 species
UACGUAGGGUGCAAGCGUUAAUCGGAAUUACUGGGCGUAAAGCGUGCGCAGGCGGUUAUGUAAGACAGAUGUGAAAUGCCCGGGCUUAACCUGGGAACUGCAUUUGUGACUGCAUGGCUAGAGUUUGGCAGAGGGGGGUAGAAUUCCACGUGUAGCAGUGAAAUGCGUAGAGAGUGUGGAGGAAUACCGAUGGCGAAGGCAGCACUCUGGGACGUGACGUGACGCUGAGACGGCGAAAGCGUGGGAGCAAACAGG